rnacentral:tRNA from 1 species
ACUGGCUUAGUAUAAGGGGAGUAUGGCAAAUUGUAAAUUUGUAGGUAGAGUUAGUCUAGUCGGGA